UGAUACAGAACUCUUGCUUUGGUUUGGCCUAGAGAUAGGUUGGGCCAGAGGUUUAACAAAACACAAUUUAAUUAUUUUUACAGUUAGUCAAAUUUUGAAUUAAUCUUCAAAACUUUCAACAACGGAUCUCUUGGUUCUCGCAUCGAUGAAGAACGCAGCGAAAUGCGAUAAGUAAUAUGAAUUGCAGAUUUUCGUGAAUCAUCGAAUCUUUGAACGCACAUUGCGCCCUCUGGUAUUCCAGAGGGCAUGCCUGUUUGAGCGUCAUUUCUCUCUCAAACCCCCGGGUUUGGUAUUGAGUGAUACUCUUAGUCGGACUAGGCGUUUGCUUGAAAAGUAUUGGCAUGGGUAGUACUAGAUAGUGCUGUCGACCUCUCAAUGUAUUAGGUUUAUCCAACUCGUUGAAUGGUGUGGCGGGAUAUUUCUGGUAUUGUUGGCCCGGCCUUACAACAACCAAACAAGUUUGACCUCAAAUCAGGUAGGAAUACCCGCUGAACUUAAGCAUAUCAAUAAGCGGAGGAA
rnacentral:rRNA from 1 species